rnacentral:lncRNA from 1 species
UUCCUUGUGGUGAAACAGAAUUGCACCAAUAAAGGUUUACUCACUAUCAUUCUUCUGUUGGAACAGCUGGAUCUUUUCACAACUCUGAAGUACCUCAGCUUCCUCGGUGUGUUCCUUGUGUUCGUCGGCCAUAGGACCCUAUCUCAUCUUUCCAACACGGCGGCAAAACAGAAGACUGCUUGAUGGGAAGAUGGGAAGAAUGUGUGAUCAUCAAUUUUCGGGCGGCCGCAGUUGCUUGGGUUCUGCAAAUGCUUUUGCUUGAGAUCCUGACCGAGUUCUUGCGCAACUUGAGUUUUGAGGGACAACUGGGUGUCAUUUUGUAGUGGGUGCCAAGAAUCCUGGUACUAGAGAAGUGGUAGGACCUCUCCUUCAUGUUUUGUGCACCGAUGUUUACUGAAGUGGUAGGACCUCACCUUCAUGUAUGACGCACUGAUUUUUACCAAAUAGGCUGGAUUUUUAAACAUAGAACUAAUAAUAUCAUAUUCUUACUCGAAAGGUUAACUCGUGUUAUGCCUUUUGAUUUACAAACUCACAAAACAAAAUUCAUUCCAUUUGAACUCCCCAACGACUUGUAACCAUUACAUUCCAUCUAAUU